AUUUUGGGAGCCCUUUUUUUUUUUUAAAUCAGGGUUUUGAGAAGAAAACAAAGGACGUCACACAGUGCUGUGGUCUGGUUGAACACUGCCAGUGACAGGUUCUAAGUUCUGAGACAGCCUUUUGGAAUUCAAAAAGUCCAACUUCCAUUAAACACCCUCCCCGCUUUCUCCUUGACAGAAUCUAACCUUAACAUAGGCCAGAGGCAGAGAAUCAAAAGAAGCUGGCGCUGACCUUCUGUCUACCUGGUUUUCAGAGUCUGUUGCAGAAUCACAACCGGAUACCUGUAUUGUUUACUUGCUGGCAGGCAAAGACAUGAUCUUUUUUAAUCCUCACACAGCCCUGCACUGCAGAUGGAGUCUCCAGGGCAAGUAAACUAAGAAGUUGUGAUGAGAAGAGUCUGCCUGUCCACAGUGAGGACCUGAGGAGCAGAGUAUAAAGCCCUGCAGCCUGUCCUUCAUUAUCUGCCACAGAGGGACUGGGAGGGUAAAACUUCCAGAGCAAAGAAAGGACCUGUGAGAUGGCUUUCCAGAUGGAACCUUCUGUGUAGUCCUGGAUGGCCCGCAGCUUGCUAUGUAAACCGGCUGACCUGGAAUUCACGGAUCUGCAAUUACCUCAGCCCCAUGAGUGUCGGGAUUAAAGGUGCCCGUUUCUUCUGAAGGUACUCAUGCGUAAUCUGUCCCUGCCGUCACCACACAUCCAAAUGCGCCACCACACAGCCUGAGGAGCUGAAAUCACAGCCAACAGCACCCAUUGUGGAAACAGAGUCUCUCUCUGUGGAACCCUGGCUGUCCUAGAACUCUCUCUAUAGACAAGGCUGGCCUUGAACUCAAAGAUCCAUUUGCUUUUACCUCCCAAGUGUUGGUAAAUGGUGUGUGCCGUCAUCACCACCCAGCCAAAUAAAGCAUCUUUAAGAAAA